CGCGUUAAGUGUUUCAAACGUGUUGACAUUAUAAUAUUUCAAAAUGAGUAACCGUACAGUAUCUCACAGUAUCACGUUAAUUGUUAUCGUUUCCGUAUUGGCCAGCAAGGAGUCAAUCAGCUGACCCUAAUCAGCGGAGAGUUUCAGUGGAAGCCGGGUUCAAGCGAGAAUACUCGGGUACAGUAGCAGGAUGAAUAAGGGAGGAACUCUCACCUUGUCGAAGAACCGGCUUAGCUUGACAGCGUUGGACGUGCCAGCAGCAAGGUACCGCGGGUUGGUGCAGUCCUGAGAGAGGAGAAGAUCUCACUUUAGGGUGAACUACAAACUACAAUGGAACUAGGACCUUUUGGAGCUGAGUCAAUGUGUCAAUGUUCCCUUUCUACCCAACAAUCAUUGCUGUAAAAUCCAGAAAACCUCUGUUCCAGUCCCACUUUAGGACUCUCAUCUACCCAUUAUCAAGCU